AAGUGGCAGAGCUGGAAUUAGAACCCAGGUCCUUCUGACUCCCAGGCCCGAGCUCUAUCCACUAGGCCAUAACUGACCUGUAAGGCUGUUCACUUCACACCGAGAUACUUACGAGAUACUACGGUUGGUCAGUGGUCACGGCUGUGGUCAUGGUGACAGGGAACAGCUACUCUGGGACGGAAGUUCAGAGCCAAGGGAAGGGUCGGACCAGGGUCCGCAGGGGUUCCUGAUGCCCGGAGAAUCGUCUCUGCCGGACACCGAAGCAGAAAAUGGCCAAGUGGCAGGGUGGCGGUCCAAGAGCCGGAGGGCCCAGGUUCCUGUCCGAGCUGUGCCGUUAACCCGGCGUGAUGCUGUGGGGUUGGUGCAUGGGCCGAAAUGAACUGCUUAACGUGGGAGAACUUUGGCAAGAAAAUUGCUAUAGAAAACCAAGGAAACAGAAGACUGCCGUCCUGAUCCUCACAACACGGAACGCUGCAGUGGACUGUGGUCACCCGGGGUCCGUGGAAUGGAACGGUCGCGUUGCUUCUCUCCAGGUGAGACACCAGAGCCAUAAAUAAGAGAGGAACAGCUCAAUUCAGUUCAUCAAGAUUUACCAUCUGCCUCUCCUCUGCCCAGCAGUUACCACCGGAUCAGAGCUGGCAUUGCCCGAUGCCGGGAUGCGAUUUUUUUACGCAGCCAUUCGAGAAGCGCUUAGUACGGUGCUCCGCACGCACUAAGCAUUCAAUAAAUACUACUGAAGACGAAGAAGCAACAGCGAAGCUAAGACCCAGCUAGGAGGGCUCUGGUUUUGAGGACAGAAUAGAUUAAUCUGUAAUAGGAAGGAGUUUGAAUGCCUGAAUAAACUGCCUCCUUAAUCCGAAUGGAUUUAGCAGCGCAAUUCUUGCGAUCUGAAUUAUUUUAUUUGUUGUCACAUCACCUGUGGAAAUCUAGCUUAUCCUUGGACUCAUCUUCAAUUUCACUCUCCUCUGCCCACUACCAGCAUUUGUCAGUAGACCUCUCCAGCUCUCCCCUCCAGACUCUGAGCUCAUUGUAGGCGGGGAUUGUCACUGUUUAUUGUUGCACUGUUC